GCAUAACGCGAAGAACCUUACCAGGGCUUGACAUCCCUCUGACCCCUCUAGAGAUAGAGGUCCUCUUCGGAGCAGAGGUGACAGGUGGUGCAUGGUUGUCGUCAGCUCGUGUCGUGAGAUGUUGGGUUAAGUCCCGCAACGAGCGCAACCCUUGUCCUUAGUUGCCAGCAUUUAGUUGGGCACUCUAAGGAGACUGCCGUCGACAAGACGGAGGAAGGUGGGGAUGACGUCAAAUCAUCAUGCCCCUUAUGUCCUGGGCUACACACGUGCUACAAUGGAUGGUACAACGGGCUGCGAACUCGCGAGAGCAAGCCAAUCCCAAAAAACCAUUCUCAGUUCGGAUUGUAGGCUGCAACUCGCCUACAUGAAGUCGGAAUCGCUAGUAAUCGCGGAUCAGCAUGCCGCGGUGAAUACGUUCCCGGGUCUUGUACACACCG
rnacentral:rRNA from 1 species